UGGGGAAUUUUGGACAAUGGGGGCAACCCUGAUCCAGCAAUGCCGCGUGUGUGAAGAAGGCCUUCGGGUUGUAAAGCACUUUUGUCCGGAAAGAAAACGCCGUGGUUAAUACCCGUGGCGGAUGACGGUACCGGAAGAAUAAGCACCGGCUAACUACGUGCCAGCAGCCGCGGUAAUACGUAGGGUGCAAGCGUUAAUCGGAAUUACUGGGCGUAAAGCGUGCGCAGGCGGUCCGCUAAGACAGAUGUGAAAUCCCCCGGGCUUAACCUGGGAACUGCAUUUGUGACUGGCGGGCUAGAGUAUGGCAGAGGGGGGUANAAUUCCACGUGUAGCAGUGAAAUGCGUAGAGAUGUGGAGGAAUACCGAUGGCGAAGGCAGCCCCCUGGGCCAAUACUGACGCUCAUGCACGAAAGCGUGGGGGAGCAAACAGGAUUAGAUACCCUGGUAGUCCACGCCCUAAACGAUGUCAACUAGUUGUCGGGUCUUCAUUGACUUGGUAACGUAGCUAACGCGUGAAGUUGACCGCCUGGGGAGUACGGUCGCAAGAUUAAAACUCAAAUGAAUUGACGGGGUCUGCUGUUUUCCUG
rnacentral:rRNA from 1 species